GACGAACGCUGGCGGCGUGCUUAACACAUGCAAGUCGAACGGUGAACCUCUUCGGAGGGGAUCAGUGGCGAACGGGUGAGUAACACGUGGGCAACCUGCCCCCGGCUCUGGGAUAACUCCAAGAAAUUGGGGCUAAUACCGGAUGUUCACCGCUUCCCGCAUGGGUGGUGGUGGAAAGGGUUUCCGGCUGGGGAUGGGCCCGCGGCCUAUCAGCUUGUUGGUGGGGUAGUGGCCUACCAAGGCGACGACGGGUAGCCGGCCUGAGGGGGUGACCGGCCACAUGGGGGAUGAGAGAGGGCCCAGGCCCCUACGGGGGGCAGAGGGGGGAAAUAUGGCGCAAGGGGGGGGAGCCUGGCGCAGGGCCCCCGGGGGGGGGAGGGCGGCCUUCGGGUUGAAAACCUUUUUCGGCAGGGACGAGGCGAAAGGGACGGUACCUGCAGAAGAAGCACCGGCCAACUACGU
rnacentral:rRNA from 1 species